CUUUGCUAUUUUGAACUUUGACCCAGAGGCUCGGUUAUACAGACACAAGUUACCAAUUUGACUGUGACGCAAUACCUCAGCAAUGCCGCACGCUACCCUCUAGGCUGUUCAAACCCCCUUCUGCCAUAACAUGAACAGACUGUUAAUGGAUGGGGACACAGUAACUGAAUGACAAAGUAAACAUGCUGCAACACCACAGCUGACUGGUGCAAUCAUAAAGCAAGAAACAAGUGCUCACAGCGAUGCUCUUUGUGCUGGACCUGGAUUCCUGGAGAGGGAACUGAGGACUGAGCUGAAGGCUCAGGAGGAGGUCAAAGACACACAGGCCUUUAAAGAAGCAUUCGUCCCAGUCAUCAGAUUGGGCUUUGGUGGGAUUGAGGUUAUGUGGAUCUACUCUCCUGCCUGCAGUUUUCCUCGAUUGAAGUUUUGUUUGCAUAAGACUCAGUCGCGGUUUUCGUGCUCGUGUUGUUUUCUCGAUUGACUUCGUCUUCGCACGAGCGCCAGGGAGGAGCCUUCCUGACAGUCUGAAUCUACAUGAUGACAACUUGGUGAAAAAUGCAGACAAACACUGUGUCAGGAGUCUCAGCUGUAAGCAUCAGAUUAAAGAUCACAACUGCUCACGAAUCCUGCAGUAUUGGUAUCUGACAGCUGUACUCCUCAGGACUGUUUUUGUUGUGUGUUUGUGGCUGUGACUUUCUGUGUUGAUCUUUUUCUUAUGCUAUGUUUUGUAGGCUACAGACGAACGUUCACACCUUCAGGCUGGUUCUUCUGG